AGCGAUACUACACUGGUAAGGUAUGGAUCUGAAACCUCUUGAAGAUUAGCAAAGGCUCUUCACACCCUAUUUCGACUCAAUACGUCUCCGGCGUAUAGAACGGUAACAUGUCUCGUUAAAUAUCUGAGCUUAGGUAUACAGGGAAACCCGACCCCUUGGGACCCAACCCCUAGCUGUCCUUUCUGUCCUGGCUUCCGACGAGACAGGAGGUUGAGGGGG
rnacentral:ribozyme from 1 species